GCUGCCUCCCGUAGGAGUCUGGGCCGUGUCUCAGUCCCAGUGUGUCCGUCCGCCCUCUCAGGCCGGAUACUGAUCGUUGCCUUGGUGAGCCGUUACCUCACCAACUAGCUAAUCAGACGCGGGCCCCUCUUCAAGUGCCGGGUUCUUGCGAAUCCCCAGCUUUGAUCACCAUCCGUUCAAGGACAGGAUGUUAUGCGGUAUUAGCGUCCCUUUCGGAACGUUAUCCCCCGCUCGAAGGCAGGUCACCCACGCGUUACUCACCCGUUUGCCACUCUACUUGCCCCUUUCGGGGCUUUCGCGUUCGACUUGCAUGUGUUAGGCACGCCGCCAGCGUUGAUUCUGAGCCAGGAUCAAACUCU
rnacentral:rRNA from 1 species